GAUCGCUUGAGCUCAGGAGUUCUGGGCUGCAGCGGGCUGUGCCGAGCGGGUGUCCGCACUGGUUCGGCAUCGAUAUGGGGAUCCCGGGGAAGCUCGGGGUCACCAGGUUGCCUAAGGAGGGGUGAACCGGCCCAGGUCGGAAACGGAGCAGGUCAAAGCUCCCGUGCCGAUCAGUAGUGGGAUCGCGCCUGUGAAUGGCCCCUGCAGCGUAGCCUGGGCGAGAUAGCGAGACCCGGUCUCUU
rnacentral:SRP_RNA from 1 species